rnacentral:rRNA from 1 species
CAGCCGCCGCGGUAAUGCGUAGGUGGCAAGCGUUGUCCGGAUUUAUUGGGCGUAAAGCGAGCGCAGGCGGUUAGAUAAGUCUGAAGUUAAAGGCUGUGGCUUAACCAUAGUACGCUUUGGAAACUGUUUAACUUGAGUGCAGAAGAGGAGAGUGGAAUUCCACGUGUAGCGGUGAAAUGCGUAGAGAUGUGGAGGAACACCAGUGGCGAAGGCGACUCUCUGGUCUGUAACUGACGCUGAGGAGCGAAAGCGUGGGGAGCGAACAGGAUUAGAUACCCCGGUAGUCCCUGUCUCUUAUACC